AACUCGCCUACACGAAGCUGGAAUCGCUAGUAAUCGCGGAUCAGCACGCCGCGGUGAAUACGUUCCCGGGCCUGUACACACCGCCCGUCACACCAUGAGAGUCUGUAACACCCAAAGCCGGUGGGAUAACCUUUAUAGGAGUCAGCCGUCUAAGGUAGGACAGAUGAUUAGGGUGAAGUCGUAACAAGGUAUC
rnacentral:rRNA from 1 species